GGGCCUGCCAUACGGACGCAAACACGUCUCUGGCGCCCAUCACUAUAUCCAUACCAACCCCUGUGCACUGUGAUGACGAAUGUCAUCGAACAAAAAAAACUCGUAUGGUUGAAUGUACGUGAAAUUGUAGGUAUAGCCUACGAACUAUACACAACUUUCGACAACGGAUCUCUUGGUUCUCCCAUCGAUGAAGAACGCAGCGAAACGCGAUAGGUAAUGUGAAUUGCAGAAUUCCGUGAAUCAUCGAAUCUUUGAACGCACCUUGCGCUCCAUGGUAUUCCGUGGAGCAUGCCUGUUUGAGUGCCGCGAAUUCUCCCUCCCCUUACGGUGGCCGAAAGGCCGAAGUAGGGCGGACGGGGUAGGAUGGGUGUUGCUGCCUGGGGAUUGUACCAGGCUCGCCCGAAAUGCAUAAGCGCCAGGACCCUCGCUACCGCUCUCUAGGGAAGAGUGGCUAAGCGACCGCUGAGCAUGGCAUGAUACGUCAUUUGCUGUGUGUGGGCGGCCGGUUGGAGAGGUGUCUGCUUUACCAGCCCUUUUUUAAUUCUGGUCUCAAAUCAGGUAGGAUCACCCGCUGAACUUAAGCAUAUCAAUAAGCGGG
rnacentral:rRNA from 1 species